rnacentral:ncRNA from 1 species
AGAGUAAAAGCAGAGGCGUCAAGUGCCGACGGGACGGGGAGUUGCCGGUCGGACGAAAGGCGGCCUGCCGCCGGGAACGGUGGGGGUCGGACUGCGGUCUUUGCUUUGCAUCCCGCU